rnacentral:rRNA from 1 species
CCUACGGGAGGCAGCAGUGAGGAAUAUUGGUCAAUGGCCGGAAGGCUGAACCAGCCAUGCCGCGUGAAGGUCAGUGCCCUAUGGGCGUUAAACUUCUUUUGUGCGGGAGCAAUAAUGGUCACGUUUGGCCAGACGAGAGUACCGUACGAAUAAGCAUCGCUUAACUCCGUGCCAGCAGCCGCGGUAAUACAGGGGAUGCAAGCGUUAUCCGGGUGUAUUGGGUUUAAAGGGUGCGUAGGCUGGGAGGUACGUCAGCGGUGAAAUGCCCCCGCUCACCGGGGUGAAGUGCCAUUGAUACUGCCGUGCUGGAAUGCGGAUGCCGUGGGAGGAAUGUGUGGUGUAGCGGUGAAAUGCAUAGAUAUCACACAGAACACCGAUUGCGAAGGCAUCUCACGAAUCCGCGAUUGACGCUGAUGCACGAAAGCGUGGGUAUCAAACAGGAUUAGAUACCCUUGUAGUC